rnacentral:rRNA from 1 species
GAUGAACGCUGGCGGCGUGCCUAAUACAUGCAAGUCGAGCGAACAGACGAGGAGCUUGCUCCUCUGACGUUAGCGGCGGACGGGUGAGUAACACGUGGAUAACCUACCUAUAAGACUGGGAUAACUUCGGGAAACCGGAGCUAAUACCGGAUAAUAUAUUGAACCGCAUGGUUCAAUAGUGAAAGACGGUUUUGCUGUCACUUAUAGAUGGAUCCGCGCCGCAUUAGCUAGUUGGUAAGGUAACGGCUUACCAAGGCAACGAUGCGUAGCCGACCUGAGAGGGUGAUCGGCCACACUGGAACUGAGACACGGUCCAGACUCCUACGGGAGGCAGCAGUAGGGAACCUUCCGCAAAGGGCGAAAGCCUGACGGAGCAACGCCGCGUGAGUGAUGAAGGUCUUCGGAUCGUAAAACUCUGUUAUUAGGGAAGAACAAAUGUGUAAGUAACUAUGCACGUCUUGACGGUACCUAAUCAGAAAGCCACGGCUAACUACGUG